AGUUAUAAGCUUUUUGAUGGAAUCAGAUUCCAUUUCCUGAACUGCACAUUGGUUUUAUUAGUCACUAACAAUUGUGUGACUUUGUUGUCUGAAAGAUAUAGUUUUUUUUUUUUUUCUUUUUUCGAGAGAGAGAGAGAUAAAGAAGGGGUUGAUUUUGGGGAGAUGAUCGAGCUACAGUGGAAGUGUUUUGGGGCAUUUGGAAAUGAGGAACAAAAGAGAAUUUGAGUAGGGAUGAGAAUGGUUGCCACUGCUUUUCGCCACCCCAUUGGGAUCGUUCAGCUCCAUGGUUCUGUUAGUGAUGCUGGCUCUGCUAGCAAAUGUGGCCAUUCGUCUUUCAGAUUUAUCUCCAAGAAUUUUGCUGUUGAUGUCGCUUUGCUUAGAAAAGGACAUUGUAGCUAUAGACAGGGUCAACAGCAUGUAGUUUGUGCAUUAUCUUCUCAGGCUCAAACUACUUGUCCAAGUUCAUCCAGCUCCCAUGUUGAGAGUGCUUUGAUAUUAAUUCGUCAUGGCGAAUCUAUGUGGAAUGAGAAGAACUUGUUCACUGGUUGUGUUGAUGUGCCUUUAACAAAGAGAGGUGUAGAUGAAGCAAUAGAAGCUGGUAAGAGAAUUAGCAACAUCCCUGUAGAUAUGAUUUAUACAUCUUCGCUGAUUCGUGCGCAGAUGACAGCCAUGCUUACCAUGACCCAACACCACUGCAAGAAGGUUCCAAUCAUUAUGCACAACGAGAAUCGACAGGCAAAGUCAUGGAGUCAAAUCUACAGUGAAGAUACUGAGAAGCAAUCAAUUCCAGUUAUAACUGCUUGGCAACUGAAUGAAAGAAUGUAUGGUGAAUUACAGGGUCUCAAUAAGCUAGAGACAGCUGAAAGAUAUGGAAAGGAACAAGUGCAUGAGUGGCGUAGGAGUUACAAUAGUCCUCCUCCCAAUGGUGAGAGCUUGGAAAUGUGUUCCCAUAGAGCUGUAGCUUAUUUUAAAGACCAUAUUCAACCACAACUACAAUCUGGAAGGCAUGUGAUGGUUGCUGCCCAUGGGAAUUCAUUAAGGUCUAUAAUCAUGUAUCUCGAGAAAUUAACUUCUCUAGAGGUUGUUAACUUAGAAUUACCAACUGGGCUACCACUGCUUUAUAUCUAUAAGGAGGGGAAAUUUAUGAGGAGGGGAAGUCCAGUUGGACCUACAGAAGCUGGUGUUUAUGCUUAUACUGAGAAAACAUACUUAGUGGAAUGAAAGAAGUAAAUGCUCGGGGGAGGCCACCUAGUCUUGGGAGUAGCUGUCCUCCUUACUAUGGCUUGGUAGUCCGACAUAGAAAAUUUAGAAUGCUUUUCUGCUAUAUUCUGUCUAAACUAUCCCUUCCACAUGUGGCAGCAAUUAAUAGUUCAUGGCACUUGCCAAGCCAGCUGUCAUAAGCCUGGUUGAGCUGAGCGCUAUACGACUCUGGAUUGGCUCAGAUAUUUAAUCAAUACCACCAUGAAGUGGCUUGUCGCAUUUGCAACCCUAUGGGCUUGAGAAAUGUUUAUAAUGUGUCUCUGGUUCUCUCUUGUACUUUUGGUUGACAACAACAAUUAAACCCCUUAAGUCAGAGCUUGGCCCUUUACAAGCAAACGUUGGAUGAAAAGUUGUAUUGAACCAUAUGAAAACAGAGGCAACCUAUUUUUACUCGGACUCGGGAGCGUAUGAAACAAUUGAACCCCAUAUGCAGUGAGUUCCAUGCAUAUAUAAAAUUACAUGCUGCUGAUUAAAUGUCAAACUCAGACACUGAACAUUACGAACCGGCCUUGCUGUGAAAGAUUUUGUAGAACAAAAGGUUACAUCAUACUUAAUCGCGUUGACCUCAUAACCAUCGUGAUAGAAUUUGGUAAUCUUACUCAUUUUCAAUGACUUUAGUAGGGUAGGCAAUGUUUGACAAUCUCAGAUGGAGAUUUCUACUUUUCAAAUUGGAGCUGUAAUUUUAUUUGACUACUUUGCUAGAAAAAUAACUGCAUCCAACUAUGUCAGAGAAACUGAAGCAUGGAUUAAAUCUCAAUUUGAUUGUCUAGAA